rnacentral:rRNA from 1 species
UACAGAGGUCUCAAGCGUUGUUCGGAUUCAUUGGGCGUAAAGGGUGCGUAGGUGGCGUGGUAAGUCGGGUGUGAAAUUUCGGAGCUUAACUCUGAAACUGCAUUCGAUACUGCUGUGCUUGAGGACUGGAGAGGAGACUGGAAUUUACGGUGUAGCAGUGAAAUGCGUAGAGAUCGUAAGGAAGACCAGUGGCGAAGGCGGGUCUCUGGACAGUUCCUGACACUGAGGCACGAAGGCCAGGGGAGCAAACGGG